rnacentral:rRNA from 1 species
UACGUAGGGGCCUAGCGUUGUCCGGAUUUAUUGGGCGUAAAGAGCUCGUAGGCGGUUCGGUAAGUCAGGUGUGAAAUCUCCACGCUCAACGUGGAGGCGCCACCUGAAACUGCCGUGACUCGAGUCCGGUAGGGGAGUGUGGAAUUCCUGGUGUAGCGGUGAAAUGCGCAGAUAUCAGGAAGAACACCCGUGGCGAAGGCGGCUCUCUGGAACGCAACUGACGCUGAGACGCGAAAGCGUGGGGAGCAAACAGG